AAAGCGCCUCUUCCCCGUCCCUCUCCUACCUCCGCCAGGCAGGAAGAGAGCUUUCUCCUUAGAGCCGUGACUUAGGGGUGCCCAGCCCCAGGCACCUUGAGCCCCAUCCUCCUGCGAUGCCCCCUCGGAGUGUGGCUCUUCGGGCUCCAUCUUAAUGUGCAGUGACUCCUGAGUGUCCCCUGAAGGUACCGCCUCCCCCAGCUUAGAAGGCAUUUCCUGAUGAGGAUGUCCACGAUCUGGAACCUAGAAAGGACAGCCCCAUCAGCACCCAGAUGAGUGGGAGAGACACCCAGGGCCACAUGGCAGUGCGCUCCGGCAGCGUCGGAAACCAACAUGCAAGACGCAGCUUGAAGGACUGUCCUUGCUGCAUUCAUCCAGCUCACCCCAGCAAGGACGGGCGGCAAGAGGAGGAAUAUUCACCAAGCCGCCUCCACAGUGCCGGUGGGCGUGGUGCCCAAGGGCAGCUACCCCUUCUCAGCUCCAGCCUCACACUGACCUCAGCAGUGUAGACUGCUGUCUAUUAGUGUAUGAAGAAACCAAGUGUAGUGGCUUGAAUAGUGUCCUCUAAGAAUCCGUGUCCUCCCUGGACCUCAGAAUGGGACCUUAUUGGGGAAAAGGGUCUUUAUACAGGAGAGGACACAGAGACACAGAGAAGGAAGCAGAGACUGGAGGGAUGCCCACACCAAGGACACCAGGAGCCCCCAAGGAGUUGGAAGAGCCCCCUCCAGCUUCUGGCCAGGAGCCUAGAAGAGCAGACAGAAACCAGCCCUCGCUUCCUGGACACCCCCAAAGAGCCCUGAAAAUCCCCACGAGUACCAGCGCUCCCUGGUCCCAAUCGGAAAGAAAGUCUCCCAGAUCCUAUCCGAUGGUCCCACUCUCUGUGAUGUUUUCUGGGUCCUAUUUUUGAAAGAAUGCUAUUUUGUAUUGUCCCCUUUAUUGCUGAAGCAAGAGCCUCGCAUCUCAGUGUAACCGGCUCAGGGAAAGCCGAGGCUAAAUUGGAAUCGCUAUUUCCUGUCAUCAGGAGCAGAAAGUUCUGCAGAGAUCCUGCAGAACAGGUGCUGGUGGGGCCCCGCCCGUCAAGGCCAGGGUAAUCCAGGACCUGCUGUCCCCCGACCCCAGGACAUACACCGUGUGUCCCUACCU
rnacentral:lncRNA from 1 species